rnacentral:rRNA from 1 species
AGACGAACCGUCCAAACGUUAUUUGGAAUCACUGGGCUUAAAGGGUGCGUAGGCGGCCUUGUAAGUCGGGCGUGAAAGCCCACGGCUCAACCGUGGAAUUGCGCCCGAUACUGUAAGGCUAGAGGGAGAUAGAGGUGAGUGGAACUAAUGGUGGAGCGGUGAAAUGCGUUGAUAUCAUUGGGAACACCGGUGGCGAAGGCGACUCACUGGAUCUCUUCUGACGCUGAGGCACGAAAGCUAGGGUAGCGAACGGGAUUAGAAACCCCUGUAGUCC